GAUGAAGAACGUAGCGAAAUGCGAUAAGUAAUGUGAAUUGCAGAAUUCAGUGAAUCAUCGAAUCUUUGAACGCACCUUGCACCCUUUGGCAUUCUCAAGGGUAUGCUCGUUUGAGUGUCAUUGUACUCUCACACUCCCGAUCUUUGCAUUGGGAGCAGUGGACUUGGGUUUGCUGCUUCACCGUCGCUUACCUCAAAUAGGUUAGUGCAACUCUUGGUUGGACAUAGUACGGCGUGAUAAGUGUUCUUCGCCGGUGCCUCGCAAAGAGGGUGGCCGAUCGGGAUGUUGUGCUCCAAACCGUCUUCGGACAAUCUCUGACGACUUGACCUCAAAUCGAGUAAGACUACCCGCUGAACUUAAGCAUAUCAAUAAGCGGAGG
rnacentral:misc_RNA from 1 species